rnacentral:lncRNA from 1 species
GAGGGUGUGAAUGUGGACCAAGUUUAGAUGCUUUUUCUAAGCAAGAGUGACCUGGAGCAUCUGUGAUCCUGGGCAAAUUCAUGCCCUUACUAGCCUUUGAAGGAGGUGAGAAAUCAGGGCAGUGCACUUAUCCUGUAUUUCCUUUGAGGAAAAUGGUGUUUACAGACCAAUCCUCUAAAAGCAUUUGACAUGGAACUUGGUAAUAAUUAACAAAGCAAAAAAAGCUACUUUAUUCAGAAUAUUUCACUUUGAGCAAUUUCCAUAUAACACAAUCACAAGUCAGCACUACUCUAUUGAAUACAGACAAUUAGAAUAUCUGAGGCAUCAUCUUGUAUUUAAUACAAAUCACAAGAAAGUCACUCUGGAAGUUCCAGGGGCACUGAGUUUAACAUCAUCAUAUCCAGGGUCCCUUUUCUCCCCCUGGAGCAGCCAGGGGCUCUCUUCUCCUUCCCAGGAUCAGCUUCCUCUCUAAAGACAUUCAGAAAGAGCCUGAAACAGUAAAGAAAACUAUGAUUAGAACUGAGACAAGGGGACCAAACAGUGCAGUGGAAGCUAGUUAAGCAAGUUGUGAUAACAAACCAUCCCUGGGACCCAGGUGUGGGCAGGGAUGCUCAGACUAUUUCAUGUCAGUUACAGUGAAGAUGGAUCCCAGCUGUCCUCUCAGAUCGAGUCCAUGUGCUCUCUGGGACUUCAGCUCAUGUGGAAACCCUGCAUCACAGGAGACCUGUGCUCACACAGGAGCUCUGUGAAGACCUGCCUUCAGGCUACACAAUCAGCAACAAAGUGCCCAGGAAUGGUAAGAGCAUAACAACGAAUUUAAAUGUUCUCCUUUCACAACUGACAAACGUGAAACCACAAUUAGAUGGAAAGUGGAGACAGGAAAUUCUGAGUUCCUCACUCACAAACCAACUCUGCUCUUAGUAGCCUUGAUGCAUGUUCCUAAAUGUCCACAAAUAGUAUCACGGGUGCAUCCACAGAUGGCCCCUCCCCAGGGACCACACAGGCCCUCAGAUGGAGAAAUACUCCUUUCCAGAGAAAGAAUGUUUUCUCUUGACCACUAAAAUAUCUGGAGGAAAUUAGACCUUAGCUGAUCACAAACUCUGAAUCAAUUGUUAGGUAGUUAGAAUGGGGAGAAGGAGUCCAGAAUAGUGGUGUCUGAAAGACAAAGAGAAAAGCCCACGAAAAUAGAACAAAAGAAGGUCCAAAGACUGGAGUGAGAACCUCAGGUGAAACAAACAGCCCUCCUGGCUAGCCCANNNNNNNNNNNNNNNNNNNNNNNNNNNNNNNNNNNNNNNNNNNNNNNNNNNNNNNNNNNNNNNNNNNNNNNNNNNNNNNNNNNNNNNNNNNNNNNNNNNUGGAGUGAGAACCUCAGGUGAAACAAACAGCCCUCCUGGCUAGCCCAAUUAACAUAGGGUUGGUUCAGGGGAGGAGACAAAACAUAUAAAAAGAGGAGCCAAAACUGAGCCUCUCUCGUUGCCUCUCUUUGCUUCUUUCCAGUCGACCUGCCCUCACACCUCGAGGAUGUAUUUUCUUUUGCUUGCCAAAUAAAACUGAGCUUUAACUGAGCUGUAACUCUGGUCCAUCUGUCACUUCAAAUUUUUGCUGCAGCGAGACAGAACCAAGGAAAUCACACACUUCCCCGACACAGUAAUCCACCAACAUGGUUUAAUGUUAAGGCCACCAUAUACCAUAGACUUUGUACACAUCAUUGCAACCUUAUAAACAGAGCCCAUCUUAAAUUAUCAGAAUGCCUCACAAAUUUCAAUACUGCAAUACAUUUUUUAAAUCUCUAAAAAAAAUAAAAUAUAAAAAAAUAAAAUCUCUAUCUUUCACAUACAGGGAAGCACAGAGAUAUUAUAAAAACACUUGUCUAUUUUUGGAUUUGGUAAAUAUGCUCAAUUAAUCUAUAAGUGAUCUAUUUCUUUUGGCCACUACACAAUGCUUGUGGGAUCUUAGUUCCUUGACCAAGGAUUGAACCCAGGCAGUAGCAAUAAAGUGCAGAGUCCUAAACACUGGAUUACCAGAAAAGUCCCUAAUCUAUAAAUUUUAAUGCAAGCAUAUCACAUAUAAAGUGAAAUUUUAUGUUGCAUUAUAGAGCUGUGGCUGCUGAUAAGUUGCAUUAGUUGUGUCCAACUCUGUGAGACCCCAUAGAUGGCAGCCCACCAGGCUUCUCUGUCCCUGGGAUUCUCCA